GGAUGAGGACCCCUUAGCAGGAUUCAGCCUAUAGGGCCCCACGGAGGCCUGAACCACCACGGAGGCUACUGACGGAGGAAAACCUGGUCUAUUGCGAAAGGCACAAGAUGUACUGUAAGCAGCCCUUAGUGUUUCAUGAAAUAGACAAGGAUGUAAAAGCAUGUUUGCUUUGAAUAGGCCUAUCUCUAACCUUUAGAAGACUUUUCCUCCACUAAGUGAGUCAACACUGAAGUUGGGGCCCCGCAAAGAGCCGGGACAGAUUGCGCAAUCGGUCUGCAUUUAAAAGGACAGACGUGGAGAGAGACAGAGAGGGAACGAGGCACGUGAAUUUAGUGAAGUUCAAUUUGUGUCGGAUUGUAACAGCCUGCUCCAGCCUCAUCCAGGAUGCAUCUUCUAGCGAAACACAUUCUCAUCCUCCAAAUCAUCGUCCUGUUUGCAACAACCUGCCAGACUCUGCUAUGCCCUAACUGUUAUGAAGUGACGUGCAAUAACCCGACGGACUGCAAGGGGGGGUGGGCCAAAGAUGAGUGUGGCUGCUGCAGUAUCUGUGCCAAGGUGAAGGGCGAAGAGUGUGGGGGCCCCUGGGGGCUGAGCGGCACCUGCGACAAGGGGCUGAAGUGUGUGUACGGCCAAAUGUACCGCCCCGACAGGACUGGCGUUUGCGAGGUCUGUAUACAUGUAGUUGACAAACAAGGGCAUUUUUACCGUUACGCGUGUCUUGUUAAAUGAAUGUUUGUGAAAGCCUACGUCACUCACCUCCAUCUAUUUCUUGGUAAUUAGCUAUGCUACAUGAUUGAUUGUAAAUAUAUCAUGAUCGACCAAUUUGUGUAAAAGGGACAUUGUGCGAUGCUCCUGAAAAGGUGUAUCAUGCUUAUGCCGUGAAAAAGUUGAAUAUGACAUAAUAUGACGAAUAUGGCCAUUAACACAGGAAGAAGUCAAAAGAGGAAAACAAACACACAUUACUUAAUAGAGGUCCGAAAACAAGGAAAGUUUUUUUUUUUUAUUAUGGCAUUAUCCUGUUUUACGAAGAGCGCCCUCUUGUGGAAUUUGUAAGGUUUACACUAGCAGCACCCAGAGCUGAAACUGUGACAUGUUUGUAAAAGGCUGCAAUUGUGUCCUUCCCUCCUGAAACACUAAAUCAUGUCUCUUCAUGUCUCCCACAGAUAAUAUGACGAGUUGAGCCAGAGAAUGGAGGCCAUUACAGGGAAUCGAGAGGAGCUCAUCCAGAAUGGUGCACCCAUUACCCAACAUAUGCUUGAAGUGACAGGAGUGCAGAUGAGAAUCCUACAGCAUGCUGUACUGUCUGCUGCCUUCCCCUUUGCCUUACUGCACAAUAAAGUACUUACAGCAACCUGCCUGUUGUGCUCACGCUCA